AUAAUGCAAGUCGAGCGGACAGAUGGGAGCUUGCUCCCUGAUGUUAGCGGCGGACGGGUGAGUAACACGUGGGUAACCUGCCUGUAAGACUGGGAUAACUCCGGGAAACCGGGGCUAAUACCGGAUGGUUGUCUGAACCGCAUGGUUCAGACAUAAAAGGUGGCUUCGGCUACCACUUACAGAUGGACCCGCGGCGCAUUAGCUAGUUGGUGAGGUAACGGCUCACCAAGGCGACGAUGCGUAGCCGACCUGAGAGGGUGAUCGGCCACACUGGGACUGAGACACGGCCCAGACUCCUACGGGAGGCAGCAGUAGGGAAUCUUCCGCAAUGGACGAAAGUCUGACGGAGCAACGCCGCGUGAGUGAUGAAGGUUUUCGGAUCGUAAAGCUCUGUUGUUAGGGAAGAACAAGUGCCGUUCAAAUAGGGCGGCACCUUGACGGUACCUAACCAGAAAGCCACGGCUAACUACGUGCCAGCAGCCGCGGUAAUACGUAGGUGGCAAGCGUUGUCCGGAAUUAUUGGGCGUAAAGGGCUCGCAGGCGGUUUCUUAAGUCUGAUGUGAAAGCCCCCGGCUCAACCGGGGAGGGUCAUUGGAAACUGGGGAACUUGAGUGCACAAGAGGAGAGUGGAAUUCCACGUGUAGCGGUGAAAUGCGUAGAGAUGUGGAGGAACACCAGUGGCGAAGGUGACUCUCUGGUCUGUAACUGACGCUGAGGAGCGAAAGCGUGGGGAGC
rnacentral:rRNA from 1 species